rnacentral:rRNA from 1 species
UACGGAGGGGGCUAGCGUUGUUCGGAAUUACUGGGCGUAAAGCGCACGUAGGCGGCUUUGUAAGUUAGAGGUGAAAGCCCGGGGCUCAACUCCGGAAUUGCCUUUAAGACUGCAUCGCUCGAAUUGUGGAGAGGUAAGUGGAAUUCCGAGUGUAGAGGUGAAAUUCGUAGAUAUUCGGAAGAACACCGGUGGCGAAGGCGGGUCUCUGGGCCGUUACUGACGCUGAGGAGCGAAAGCGUGGGGAGCGAACAGG